rnacentral:rRNA from 1 species
AUGCGACCAACACCAGCACUGGCGGCUCCCAGAGCGCGAGCAUGGUUACCACCUGAUGGAGAAGCAGCGAAGCUAAACUGUGAUGGCGCCAUAUCAACUCUGGGCGACAAGGGAGCGGCGGCCGUGGUGUGUCGAGACAAAACUGGCAAGUUUCUUGGCGCUUCAGCUUUAGUUCUCGAGGGUUUGACUGACCCGGUGAGCUUGGAGGCACAUGCGUGCAGUGAGGCCCUUGCCCUCGCUAAUGAUCUGAACCUGCAGGACCUGCUGAUUGCAUCAGACUGUUUAGAAGAGAUUCAAGUUACUAGGAACUAUUUCAAUUCAGUUAACUUUCGUUUUGAACAUAGAGAAAAUAAUUUCGAGGCCCACUCGGUUGCAAAAGGAGCUGCGUCUCUGCCGGUGGGCCGCCACGUGUGGCUAGGGGUCCUUCCUGAUAUUGCUUGUAUUCCGGAGGUGUUGAACUUUGAAUAA